rnacentral:rRNA from 1 species
UACGGGGGGGGCAAGCGUUGUUCGGAAUUACUGGGCGUAAAGGGCGCGUAGGCGGCUCGCUAAGUCGGGUGUGAAAACUCUGGGCUCAACCCAGAGCCUGCAUUCGAAACUGACGAGCUAGAGUUCUGGAGGGGAAAGCGGAAUUCCUGGUGUAGCGGUGAAAUGCGUAGAUAUCAGGAGGAACACCGGUGGCGAAGGCGGCUUUCUGGACAGAAACUGACGCCGAUGCGCGAAAGCUAGGGGAGCAAACGGG